rnacentral:lncRNA from 1 species
AGAGAGAGUGAGAAAAGAGUACACGGUGGUUCGCGAAUAAGCGACAAAAGGAUCGUGCCUUUCACAGACGGAUUACGUCAUUUCCCAAUCUGUCUAACGUCUGGUAUUGCUUUCGUCUAGCGCUCGUCUAGCGCUCGUCUAGCCACUAAAGGUCUCGACACUUCUAACGUACGUGGUAUACAAUAGACAAAGAAAACCAGUAUUUUCGUGCGAUGAAAAGAGAAGGAGAAAAGGAGAUAGAUAUAAAGACCGUGAACGACGAGAGUACUAAAGAAAGAGAAAGAGAGAGAGAGAGAUAGAUAGAGAACGAAUAAGCGCGUAAGAGAAACUAACGGACGCGCGAGUACCUUCUGUAACAUAAGCGUUGCACGUGAACUUGCUGCACCUUGAGAAGAGAGUGCGAGGUAGAGAGGGAAAGAGGGUGUACGCGCAUGCACACGUAUCAGAAGAGAGCACAUGCACGUCAUUCGUAAGCUCUCGCGGCGCGUAAGCUCUCGUGCAUUCGUCACCGGCUGCUGCUACAUCACCACUCGGUACGAUUCGACGAUUCCUCUCUUUCAUUCGGAGCAUAGCGAGACCAAACGGCAUGAACUAACAAAUUCGUUUGUUACCACCCGGCCCGUAGUCUUGCUCCUGGCCGGCCGGGGCUGCCUGGGGUAGAAGAGGACCGCGCCGCAAAAUGGAUAGAGCAAGAUCGAAAUGUUAUUAAUGCUACGCCGCACGGUCGAGAGGCGUACAUUGCGCAGCGACGGGUGAGCGAGCCAGCAGUUAGAGGGACGGGAGGGCCGUGUGGCACCGAUGCAUUUUGGGACUAUUCCGCGGAGUUGGAGCGGUGGCUUGCUACGGGGCGGAGCCGGGAGGGGCACCGAGUUGCGGGGCCCUAGCAACGAGAGGAAGACGCCUAGCAACGCGCGUUCCCUCCUCUCACCCUCCCUCAACGUUCUUCUCUUCUCCUCUCUCUCUCUCUCUCCCUCUCGUCCAACCGAGUCUUCGUGUGUCAAGAGAAAGAGAAAAAAAAAAGAGAAAGAGAGAAGGAAGGAGAGAAACGAGAACCUAGCAUGCAUUUUAGGCCCCGAGCCUGCAGCUUGGCCCGGCCAUCGAGCCUCGAACGGGCCCAUCGUGGAACGAAAGAAAGCAGUCUCACCGGAUGGUGGUGGGGGAUUCGAAAAAAGGAUUUAGUUCGUCGUCGUCGUCGUCGUCGUCGUCAUUGUCGUCGAAAGGGCGAGCUCGAUAAACGCAACAUUCGUGCACUCGCUCGACUGCACGCAGCGUCAAACUAAUUGCACACGCACGUGGUACUAAAAAGCAUACACACAUUUACUUACAUUCGUAUAUAUAUACAUAGAAAGGGAGAAAGAAAGAAUACGCAACGCGUCUACACGCGACUAAGCCGUUAUCUGAGAUUCGUGUUAGGAUAAUUCGCACGAUAAACCGCCGCAACGCGUCGCAACGACAUAAAAAUAGUCCGGUAACCCUGACAAACUGCUUGCUUACCACCCCUUCGACGCAAUGGCAUCGAUCGAAAAUUGAUUUUUCUUUAUCAUUUGCAAAACAUUUUAUGGAAAAUAAUAAAAUUACUGUUCCUUUUUU